UUUACUUUGUGGAUGGGAAAAUCCAAUAAAAUUGGAAUGAUAGAGAGUGCCAUGGCCCCUGCCCAAGGAUGCGAAACAAAUCAAGAAAUGAUCCAAACUUUU
rfam:Capsicum annuum cultivar Zunla-1 chromosome 10, whole genome shotgun sequence